GAAAAACAAUAAAAAUAAUGAAUGAAGAAGGGGACAGUAGUUGUUGUUUGUAAAGAAAAGAAAAGUUAGCUGCUCCACGCGAAGAAGAGAAGCAAAGAAAGAAAUUAUAAGGUGUCUCUCUCUCUCUCUCUCUUGGACUCAUUCUCAUCUAUCUCCAACCUCUAUUUUCAAAAAAACAACACAAAGUGGGUGAAAACAAUGAGCUAUAAGAAACAACAAACAUAGUACUAGUGGUGGUGCCACCGUUCCUUAAUUCUUGUUCUGNNN
rnacentral:lncRNA from 1 species